CAUAAAAUAACAUAAUAGACCCUCAAAAGGUCUUACAGAUGAGACUCCAGUUGUAGGCAGCAGAGGAGAUUGAUUGGCUUCAGGAGAGGAGUGUUCUUGCCAGUAGAUACUCAAUGAACAGGUCUGAUUUCUAUUGUAUUAAUAUUAGCAGUAAUAGUGAACAGAAAUAGGCAAGCGACUUCUGUAAAUAAGAAGAAAUAUAAAAGGAAAAGUGGGGGAGGGGAGGAGUGGCUAUCUCGGCCCGGACUUCUCACCCACAACUAUCCUAGCUGCUCUAAGCAAUUGAUUGUAAAUCUUCUUUAUUCAAAUCUAAAACUAUGAGUACUUGAACAUCAUAACUAGACGCUAGUUUUCAAAUAGGACUCAUAAUAUGAUUAAGACUAUAACUCCAACAUGGAGUAGGUAAGUAGCUAGUCAUUCACUAAUAGGAAAAACUAAACUGACUAAAACUGAAAUAACAAAGGAAAUAGACUCAAAAUAGGAGUCUAAUGAAGCUAAAGAAUUAAAUCCCAUUUCCUAUUUUUUAUCGAUAUUUUAGGCCCAUUAAAAUGGCCAAUUACAAAGAAAACCUAUGGGAUCAAAGGCCCAACACAUACAUAACCCAACCCAAAGCUUAUUUGUAAUAAAAUAAGCCCAAUAAGUGACUUAUCUACAUCAGAACGCUAGACUACCCGGGUUCUUUUCCCUUUAAUUAUUAAACAUCAUUUGUUCCAAUUUCCUCAAUGAGUUGCCUAUUAUUAAGUGCUUAGUUUAGGUAAGUUAUGCUUUAUUUAAAAAAAAAAAAAAGGCCAUUUUCUGAACUAAAUUAGUUAUAUAACAUUGUUUUGAUGAAUUUGAAUUUCAAUAGUUUGACUGAAUUCCUCCAUGUGAGGUUUUACAGAUAUUAUAAUUGAAUUCUUUUUAAUUUACUGAGGUGUAAAUCUAGAAUCAUAGAUGUCAUGGCGUCUAGGCAACCCAAGACAUUAGAGGGGGCCUAGACGUCAAGGCUAGACCAACAAGGUACCUAGGAGGCACCUUGACAUAGAAUUGUUAUGAUCUAAUAAGAUUGGUGCUUCCAAUCCUAUGCAGUUUGUUAUUGUCUCUUUAUCUGGCUGGGGCUUACUUAUCUAUGGAGGCUACAAGUUCUUCACCGGAGGCAAGAAAGACAAGAAGGAUGAGAAAGCGGUGGAAACAUCACACUAGAACAGUUUGGGAGCUUUUCUUGCAAUGUCUAUGAUGCCUGGUUGCACCUGGAAAUAAAGUGUUAGCUAGUACUGCACCAUCUUUAGGGAGAGGGUAUUUUCUUAGAUGUGAGACAAUCCAGAUUUGGGCAGUUAUUGUACAUGACUAGGGUGAUGAUAAUGGUGGUGGGUCAUAAGAAGCCCACUUACUUUUGUGUGUCUAUUCAUUUGGUUUUAGUUGCUAAAGUAAUGAAUAUUGGGCUUUGUUGUUAAAACAAAAACAAUGACUGAAAUGAAUGAAUUAUUGUGUGGGUAUAAUUCAGGAAAA